rnacentral:lncRNA from 1 species
GCCAGGAUGAAACCCAGCCUCUGAAGGAGCAUUCUGUCAUGCAUUGCAUACAGGCGUACAAUGGAUCAGACCUGGGAGGAGGCCCUGCAUGCUGCCUCCUGAAAUGGUUUCUUUGCUGCAGGCCUGUUUGGGAGAUGUUUAUCAGAAAGGGGUGGACAGGUCUGCCAUGGACAGGCCCCAUUCUGUCUCCAGUGGCCUUUUAUUGCUAGUGAUAGGUGCCAUCAGUGUCUUGCCUGAGAAAUGGCCGUGCUGCAGGCACCUCUGUCAGAGCAUCUUAUUGAUCUGUGCUCCGCCUCUCUUCCAGGGUAGUAAAAAGGCAGAGACUGCUGGCAGGAGCUGCUAUGGCACCGUGAGCUGCAGCUGAUCUCCGGGAACUCUGCUGCCUGGUCCAGCCAGUUGUACAAUCGCUUCAAGACUGCAGCAUGGCAAUCACAUGAACCGUCGCAGCGGAUCAAGUUUAAGACUCUUCUGCUACAUGAGCAAAGGACCCCCUCUUUGAUGGACCCAGAACUAGCCUCUCCCACAAAGACCCUCCUCAGCAAAAAAAAAAAAAAAAAAAAAAAAAAAGCUGUAAUGCCUCUGGCAUGCAUUUUUAUAUCCUUUCAGAGUUAGCAAUGCUAGUUUCCUACUCAUCCCAGCUCAGCUCCCCUUGCAGAUUAUCGUAGUCAUUCCUGCCCCCGUAAGCGGCCACACCCCAUCUUUUUCUGUUGGCAUUUUGGCUAUAUUUACAGAGAGAGACAAAGAUGCCCCCUCAACGUGAAUAUACACGGUCCCACCUGAGGUCAGACCCCCCUCUUUCUCUCUCUGUUUCUCUCUCUCUGUUUCUCUCUCUCUGUUUCUCUCUGUAUCUCUUUCUCCCCAGAUGCUUCUUAAUGCUCUAACCAAAAGGGCUACCUACCCCUGUGUGCACACCUCACAGCAUGACUUUUAACCCUGCUGGUAGCCCCUUGGUGUGGGCAUUCAGCUCCCAAUAAACCACGAGGGCCAGCAAGUGCCAUUGAAUCUGGAGUCAGGGACAGUGCUGCCCUCUUUGAGACAGUCUUUCAUGCCUCCCAGGCUGGCCCUCAGAUCUCAGUUGGCUUGCUUUAGCUUCCAGAGGGAUGGGAGGCACAGUGCUCAGUCCUUUGCCCUUUCUCUGUCUCUUUGUUUUGCCACUGAGAGUCUAGUAUACUGCAGAUGCUCAGGGGAUAUGGACAUGUUAGUGGGGACUGGGAAAGAAUUCUCCUAUGAGAGAUUCCUGUGUCCUGUGGUGCAGUGAGGAAGAUACUGAGACCUGCAGUGAUUGAGAGUGAUGGGAACUCAUCUACCUGUGUCUCAGGAUCCUUGUCCUCCACUGGCCUCCAUGGCAUUGACAGACUGAUGACAUUUUCUGACGUUGAAGUCAUACCUUGAUUUUACCUUCAUUAUUUCUUUCUUGGUUAGUUGUUUGCAGUAGUGGAGAUUUGAACCCAGGGCCUAGAGAUUGCUAUGCAAGUACCACUGAGCUCUAGUCCCAGCCUUUACAAUUUUUUAAAAAAAUAUCUAAAAUAGAGUCUGGGUGCUGGCUUUGAACUCACUCUGUAGUCCAGGCUAGUCUUGAACUCGUGAGCCUUCUUCUGCCUCUCAGUCUCCGGAGUAACUAGCCUGGUUUUAUCAUGACUUCUCAGUGACUGACCCGCUUUGAAUUUCCACUUCCUAAAAACUGGCUGAAUUUGGAAGGCUUUGGGGGCUGAUUCUGUAGGUUGGUGUGUCUGUGUCUGAGCCUGGUGUGUGCUAGGCAGAAGGUGAAGAAUGUCCCCCUCCACCUUCCCAUUCACACAGAGCUAGGCCUCCUGUUUCAUACGCAGCCAGAAGGUCUCAAGCCCCAGAAGAGAAAGCCAUCCCUUAUCGCCCUCGGCCGCACUGAUGGUUUUAUUCUUUUGAAAGCGUCAAUGUUUGCUCAGUGAUGUAAGUCUUAAAUAAGCAUCUAGAUGACAAGCUGCAGAUGAUGAAAACUGUCCGUGGAAAAAAAUCAUCUCACACGAUCAUGUUUCUGUCAUUAUCUGGGGCCUCUGCAGUGGGCAAAUCUCUGCAGCUACUAAACGAUAACAUUAGUCCUAAUACCAUGUAAAAUGACUACUUCCUCUGGGUAGGUUUAUUUUUAAUGGUGUUAUGUCAGCAGCAAAUAGCUGGGAAGACCCCAGAGGAAAAGCCCUGUUC